GCGAUCAUACCAGCACUAAUGCACGGGAUCCCAUCAGAACUCCGCAGU
rnacentral:rRNA from 1 species